rnacentral:rRNA from 1 species
GGCGUAGGUGGCCUGUCAAGUCGGAUGUGAAAUCUCCCGGCUCAACUGGGAGGGUGCAUUCGAUACUGGCGGGCUAGAGUGCAGCAGAGGGAGGUGGAAUUCCCGGUGUAGUGGUGAAAUGCGUAGAUAUCGGGAAGAACACUAGUGGCGAAGGCGGCCUCCUGGGCUGUAACUGACACUGAGGCCCGAAGGCGUGGGGAGCAAACAGGAUUAGAUACCCUGGUAGUCCACGCAGUAAACGAUGGAUACUAGGUAUGGGGAGUAUCGACCCUCUCUGUGCCGAAGCUAACGCUUUAAGUAUCCCGCCUGGGGACUACGGUCGCAAGACUAAA